CAAAGGAGGAAGCGCAAAACAGGGAAGAACAAUUGCGCAAACGGCGUGGACGCUCAGUUCUCGUUUGAUUAUCACGCUGUACGAUACGUCGUCUCGGCAAGUGGAAGGUGCGCACAAGUUGAUCUCGUGGGGGACGCGUCUUUGAAAACUUGCUCGAACGCUACUUACGAUUGUUCUCGGGCUAGCAGAAUCUGUAAAAAAUAUGGCCACGAUUGGCAAGAGAAUAGUGCUGGUGCUACUUUGUUUAGUGCUCGGCAAUUUUGUGCUGUUCCACGAUCGUGAAAGGAUCGUCAUGGCCCAGUACAUUGAAGAUGAAUCUUCGCUCCGUGGUCUAGACUUUGUUGGUGAAUCGCCGAAAGGUUUAUUUGGACGAUGGCAUUUUGACAAACAACAUUUACGACGAUUUCAUCUGGAUCGGAUGGGCGAAUGAUUGGUGGGCAUUAUAAGAUUAACAUUAUUUCAUUGCACUGAUUGAGCUGUUAUUCUGUUGAAAAAACGUGCCCAUGGAGGAUGCAACUUGUUACCCAUUGCAUGGAUUAUCCAAAUUGAUCACAAUGAGUGUGUAAAGACUGAGCUGACGUUUUCACUGGAAAAGAUAAAAUUUUUUACGAUAAUCUUAAGGACGAAAACAAUAAAGGAUUUAGUGUCUUAUGCAAAAUGAAUACACUUCUAUUGUAAUAUUAAGAAAAUAUGCAUUUUAUUGAAGUAGUACCAGUACGCUAUAUUGUGCAUUCUGAUAUAAAUACGAUUAAAAUGAUUUUAUAACACUACAAUAAGAUAUUAUCUGA